GAAAGUUUAGUUUAUAAAAAACGAAUGUUUUGAAAACAUUAAUAGGAAAUUUUUUCCAUCUUUUA
rnacentral:tRNA from 1 species